GUUCUAGAAGCGGAGGUGGCCGCUGAGUCAUGCCUGGUGCGGCAUAGCUCCCUGUUUCGUAUCGCCGCCCACCCCUCCUCGCCCUGCGCUGCCGGGAUCCCGCCGUGGCCCUGGCUCCCCCUCACGCCUCCCGGCCGGGCGGCACAGGCGGGCGCGGCGGGCGCCUCAGGCGACGAUCAUUGGCGGCGGCGGCCGCGCUCGCUGAUGGUGUCAGAGCGCGGCGCCGCGGCGGGGAAGGCCCGGCCAUGCGCGGGCUGGGCCGGCGCAGGGGCGCCUGGGCCUGACGGGGGCGCGGGCAGGCGGCCGGUCGGGCGCCGCGGUAGCCGCGUCCCUCGGACAUGUCGCGCCUCUCGGCCCGCAGGCUUGGCGCGGCGCUGAGGGGCUGGCGCGGCUUCUCAGUUUGCAAGUCAUGUGCUCUCCGAAGAUUUUCAAUCCAGCCUGCCCAGCAGAAGAGGAUUCCAAACCGGUACUUGGGCCAGCCCAGCCCCUUCACACACCCACACCUUCUCAAACCAGGAGAGGUAACCCCAGGAUUGUCACAGAUGGAAUAUGCUCUUCGCCGACACAAACUGAUGGCGUUGAUCCAGAAGGAAGCUCAUGGCUGGGAUGGAUUGGACCACACCGUGAUUCUGCUGUCCAACCCCACGUACUACAUGACCAAUGACAUCCCCUACGUUUUCCACCAGGACACUAACUUCCUGUAUCUCUGUGGGUUCCAGGAGCCUGACAGCAUCUUGGUGCUGCAGAGCAUUCCUGGCAAAGCACUGCCGUCCCACAAAUCCAUGCUUUUUGUGCCCCGGAGAGAUCCAUGCCGAGAGCUGUGGGACGGGCCCAGAUCAGGCACAGAUGGAGCAAUUGCUCUCACAGGAGUAGAUGAAGCUUACACCAUUGAGGAGUUCAGGCACUUAGUGGCCAAGCUGAAAGGGGAGUCAAACAUUGUUUGGUACGACUUGACAAAACCAGUGCAUACAAAGCUGCACUCUGACUACAUGCAGCCCCUGGCUGAGAUAAAAUCUCAGAACAAAAACCACAUCCAGGGCAUCCGACAUCUAGUGCAAAACCUUCGGCUGAUCAAAUCUCCUGCAGAGAUUGAAAGGAUGAAGAUAGCUGGACGGGUGACAGCAGAGGCUUUCACAGAGACAAUGUUUGCCAGCAAAUCCCCGGUGGAUGAGGCUUUUCUUUAUGCAAAGUUUGAAUUUGAGUGCCGGGCUCGUGGUGCUAACAUCUUGGCGUACCCCCCUGUUGUUGCUGGUGGCAACAGAUCAAACACUUUGCACUAUGUGAAGAACAAUCAGCUCAUCAAGGAUGGUGAACUGGUCUUGCUAGAUGGUGGAUGUGAGUUUUCCUGCUAUGUAAGUGACAUCACGCGUACCUGGCCUGUCAAUGGAAGGUUCACCAAACCCCAAGCGGAACUAUACCAGGCUGUCCUGGAUAUCCAGAAGUCUUGCCUGAGCCUCUGCUCCCCAGGUGUGAGUCUAGAAAAUAUCUACAGCCUCAUGCUGAGCCUUAUUGGACAAAAACUGAAAGAGCUGGGUGUUCUGAAGAGCAGCAUCACUGAGAGCCACUUCUUCAAGGCUGUUCGAAAGUACUGCCCACAUCAUGUGGGCCAUUACUUGGGCAUGGAUGUUCAUGAUACCCCGGAUAUAUCCCGAUCGCUUCUGCUGCAGCCAGGCAUGGUGAUAACCAUUGAACCAGGCAUUUAUAUCCCUGAGGAUGACAUGAGUGCCCCGGAGAGGUUUCGUGGCAUUGGUGUGCGCAUUGAGGAUGAUGUUGUGAUAACAGAGGAUGUACCUCUCAUCUUGUCUGCUGACUGUCCCAAGGAGAUCUACCACAUUGAGCAGAUCUGUGGCCGCAGUUCAUGAUGCCCCUUCUCUGCCUUUUUCAUCCUCCUUGGGAGCCACAGCCCUUCAGGGAUGCAGAUCCCUGUAGUGGGCUGUAGUUGUCAAGUGAUGGAGGAGGUGGAUAAUCAGAGUAUCAUCUGGGACCUACACACAUGCUGCAGCAUCCCUUGAAUACAACCAAAUCCAUGAACAUUUUAUGUGACUUUCAUCAAGAAAACUAAAGAACCCCUUCUCCAGCUGCCCAUACCCGUGGCGUACCUCCCCAGUUGCCCAUCCCAUACUGUCAGAUUUACCGUCUAUCUCUGCCACAGAAAAGAUUCCGCGCUUCAACCACUUGGGUGCAGGAGCCACUCUCAGUGGCAGCACGAGUUGCCAGCUUCUUGGUGAGGGUGUUGGUGGGAUCACUGGAAGUAAAAGAGAAAUUGAGGUAUAUGCAAAUUCACUUAGGGAGGGAUUUUAUUGCAACUAUGGCACAGGUCUUAAAGGCAUCAGAGUACAAGAGAGAAUGCGAGCCAGCCAUCCCUGUUGAGAAGGUGCUUUGCUUUCAGAGGAAGCCCAUGAGGCUUUUCUUGGCUUUCCCCUUUCACCCUCUACCAGUGGCCUGCUUUGCCUUGCAGAGAAUUUGGUGGUGGUAAAGUCCUGUUGUUAAAGUACAGCCUGAGCAGAGGUGCUAAUUUGCAGAUAUGCUUCUGUUGUCAAAGUAGAAAGAAAUUUGGCAUUUAACGCAAUUUGGCAUUCUGUCUCUGUUAUCUGUGAAAAAUACAAUAUGUCUUUCCUAAAAUUGCAUUCAUUAUUUUACAAAGGAACAUGAUGGUGUAGGAACGAGCAAACUGAGGGAGCAUGUAAGAGCAUGGAGAUGGAGGUUUUUGGGAAUGUACAAUGCAGUAGAGAAGAUUUGGAGCUGUGAGGAUGUAUGCAGGUAGAUGUGAGAACAAGUGGGUAUAAGAUGGCUAUUCAGUAUGUGGUCAGAGUGGUGCAAUAACUCCAGGAAACUGGUUAUGCUAACCAGGAGGCCCUGAUUGAUUUCUCCUGCUCAGGAAGGGAGGAACAAAGGAGUCAGAUUGUAUUGAUGAACUUGAUCUUAACAGUUAGUUUAAUUAUUUCUUUUAAAAAUCAAUAGAAUUAUCAUAUGAGAAAGUUUUCUGCAGUUUCUUGUUAUUGAUCAUAUGUCAUAUUUAAAUAAUGUGAAGGGGAAAAAGUACAUUUCUAGGCAAAAUCUUCAUUAUGAUGGAGGGAGCAAGGCUAAGGUUACAUGCUCUUAUGCUACCCAAAUUAUUGCUAUAGAAAUUUAGUAAUUACUCCCAGGAGAAUUACCAUAAAGCUGAAAGAGUUAGGGUUAAACUUAGGAAAAAUCCAUAUGAGAUAAAUGACAAAAAUGCUUUCUUUAUGAUGAGAUUCUUAAUACUUUGUGUAAUUAGGUAACAAAACUCUGCGCUGCAAUAAAUUGACAUAUUUUUUUUCUUUUAAACUGAGUUGUCCAGAAGCCUAUAUACACAUCUUUUCAUUAGCACGCAGAUCUAAGCUGCGUUUAAGUAUAUAAUUUUCUGAGAUCAUUACAGUAUCUCUGUUAAAUGUGCUCCCUACAUGCAUGCUCAGCCCCUACUUGAUUAAAAAUCACUAUUUGCACACUGUCACAACGCUGGUUUGAGGAGCGGGUCUGACUUACGAAAUUCAUUCUAUUUCAGAGGUAUAACAAUAAGUUACAUUUUAAAGCAGAAUUCAUCAUCAAAGUGGACAGUGAGGCACGGUGGGCUCAAUGACGCUCAGUUUUUCCCGUCGGCUCCUUUCUGCUCCUCCGUUUGCCUUGCUGGCUUCAGUGGCUGCCAGCUCUGAGCUGCCUUUGCAGCAGGAAGCGGAGCAACGAGCCCCCGUCUUCCUGGGACAAGUUAUGCCUCGGCCUGCCCCGUUGUUUCUCUAAAGCAGCACCCAACAUUUGGCUAACCAAACCCAGAUUCUUCAGAAGAUGGGCAGAAAGGAACUAGGAAGAAUUUCCAGGUUCUCCUUGUUUGUGUGUUACCUUCUCUUUCUGACUCAUACUGCAUGUGCCUUUUUAAGUACUGGGACAGUUAUCCAUUAACAAUGGCACAGAAAAAAAUUUAAUUCCUGUCUGGGUAAGCCUGAUGACCAGAUUUUGAGCAAAGAAAAAUUUAGGAAGAAAGUAGACCUGGGAGUGAGAAUGGCUACUGUAGGGUUCAAUAUGUUCCUUCCCCUUGGAUGCUAGGGAAACUGCAGGAAUUGUGUGCAGUCUUGUCUUGGAGCUUCUGGCAAAUGUCGGUCUCAGACAUGCUGUGGUGGGCCAGAACUGACAGUGGUUGAAGCUCUGUGUUGAUUUUCUCCCCUCAAGACCAUAAAGAGCCUGUAGCUUUUUAAAGAAAUCUCUUUUUUUCAUUACUUGGGCAGGAAUAUCAUGGCAGCAUAGGUUGGGAGCAUCCAGCCAGUGGUUCAGUUGUCAACUAGGAGAAGUUGGCAGUCCAGCAAAAACUGGGUGAGACGCAGAUCUUUCCCGGGAAAUAGGCUCACUGCAUUUUUUUGUCAAUAAAUCAGACCAGUAAACAAUAUUGUGUGGGAGGGAGAGAGGCUCAGCUUCUUUCUAUUCCCAGGCAGAAUGAGGCUUCUGCCUCUGUGUGCACUUCUGGGACAUUAAUGUAAAAUAGGAUUGGCCACCGAUCCGAGCUGAGGUUAAGCAGUCUGGCUCUUGUACAGGGAAACAGCAGGUAUCAGGUAAUCUCUUACAUGUGAAUCUUUUACUCAGGAAGGUAGUGCUUUAAGUUUAGGGAUAAUAUACUUUGCUUUUCCAGUCUAACGUGUGCACAGAGUGCAACAUACAUCAGUUUUGCCUAUGGGAGCUACAACCAAUACCUCUGUAAUUAACAGUUUAACAUCUCAGUGUGUAUGCGUAGUGAACAUUGUAGUAAUUCAGAGAAAGGGUAGCUGUUAAUGGUACAGGAGGAGAUGGGGUUUAAGCUUUCUCAGUGCAGGUCUCAUUCCAGGCUACAAAACCUGGUGUUUCUGAUAGUGCCUAUGAACACCCUUUCGUACUCCUCUUGGUGGACUGACCAUUUCUGUUGAGUGACCUCUGUGAAGUUCAUCAUUUGUGUUGGCAUUUCUGUGCCAUUGUCCUCAUGUGCCAUCAGGAUCCCACUUUGAUUCACAUUUUAAAAUGUUGCUUCUUGGCUAGACAAGGUUUGAUACGGCAUCAGGGAUUAGGAGAGUUCCCAUCACGGGAUGGAAACCGCUGUGGAGCCGGGUCUGGCUGCCUGCUCGCACGCUGUGCAUGUGUUCCUUCAGCCCAGCUGAGCUCAUUCUCAGAGGGACAGAGAGACACGGCCCUACUGACUGCUCAGGAAUUUGCAUCCCCCUGCAGCUGCCCCUGUCACCGAGGCCUUAAAUCUCUGACUGUCCUUCUAACUGUUCCCCCUCCAGACUUGUGGAGGUACCAGUCUGCAGCCGUAAGAGCCAUAACCCCUGGUGUGCUUGUUGCACUGACCUGUUACUUGUCAGAUUCCAUAAGGUACCACUGAGGUUACUGUGAUGCAUUGUAGAUAUCUGGUAUGUAUAUUGCUUUCUAAUUUAUGCUUUACCCUGUUCUUAUUUCCAGGAGAUGAGCUUUUUAACAGCUAUGUGGGUGUUACUGUGGUGACUGUAACCAGGCAAAAACAUACAGUUCAUACUGAGAUAGUUCUACAUUUGUGGACUUGGAUAUGAUUAAGAGAUUUUUAAAGGCAUGCUGUAUUUUUUGCACUUCCCUGCAUAACAGAGAGGUUUCUUACGAACUUUCGGUUCCAUGCUAUAAAAGGGAAAGGUGAUUAAUCUUCAAAAGCAUGUGUGUAUAAGUGUAUUAUGUACAAGCACACACCUAUUGUGCAAACAAAUGUUGUGACUUCUCGCUAGUUAGAGAUUUAGAAGAGAUUUUUCUCCAAGCAUAAUUAAGAUUGUUUAGAUAUUUGGCUCUUCAUUUCUUUAUGCUUUAUUUGGAUUUCUUGUUAAACUUCAUUUUACCUUAGAAUUUCCAGGGUUUAUAAUUCUUGGAAUUAUUCCGUGUGAAUAAUUGCCUUAUCUCUGUACUAUAUUUUACUGUAAAUCACUGCCAUGUAGCCUUAACAAUGCCUCCCUCUUCAGUUUUUUUUCCAGUUUUAUAAUGUAAUUUCCCUGCAGUAUGAGGCUUUUGAGGAAUCAGCAUUCUGUGAUUCUCACCAGAGUGCCUUUCUGAAAAAGAUCUCUGACUACUUAUGCCAAUGCAAAGUGAAAGUAAAAUUCCAGAUCCUGAAGAGUAAGUGCAAAGGAGAGAACCGAGUAAUCCUGUGACGCGAUGUUUCCUGUGAGGUUACCUUCUGGACUCGGGAUCUGGUGUUUCAGAAAAGACCCAUCCUUGAAACUCUGUGUUCUGUUACGUUUGAUCACUUUGACCUCCUCAACAGCAAAUGGCUUCCCUUGAAAUCCUCAGUGUCUGUUGUUCUUGCUUCACAUUUGAAAUCUAACAGGCAUGAUACAAAUUUCAGGUAACUCCAACUUUUUUCCAUCCUACUUGGUAAACUUGUAUUGACCCAAAUAUAAUGUAUAUUAGAGGUAACAUACUGUGUCAGAUGUUUUCAUCCUGUCACCUGAUGUUUUCGGAACAAGAAAUUUCCAUUUGAAAGCUUGCUGCAGAUUGCAUGAUGGAAGGUAGGCAUGUCGCUGAGGGUAGGUAAAAGGAGGGGUGACCUUUUACAGGGUCCAUAACCUGGAUUUGCUCUGAAAAAAGUUUGGAGAAGGUCUGGAGGAGACUGACCCAGGCAGCCUGUCCCAACCCCAAGCACUGACCAGGAGGACAUCUCCAUGAGAGCUUUAUUCCAUGACUGAAGAAGAAGGGGUGUGAGCCUGUGUACACCCACUGCUGCUUUUCUGCAUGCUUCUUUUUCAAUUCAAACAGGGGGAAGUAGAUACACACCUACAUUUCUCUCUUCAGUAAUUAAUCCAAGAGAAGUGACUACUACCUCAUGCAGCAGUUGCAGACUGAGCACAUGGCAAUACAGACUGCCCAUCACUUAUGUGGAAUUCAUUAUUUCUUCUAUCAAGUCAGUCACAGCAUUAUUUUCCUCUCAGUGUGCUUCACUCCAUUUUGAAUUUUGCUUUUCAGGCUCUUCCAUUCAGUCUCUCGUAACCUGCUUGUGCACAAAUUAUUUCAUCUGGAGGUGGCUGGACUGAUGAUAAUAAUUUGUUUCAGGAAGUUUUUAGAGGUCACCGGUGUCAAGGAACAACAGUUUGCAUUAUCUCCUUUAUUACAUGUAUUAUUUUUUCGAAAGAGCAUUAUUUGUGUCACAUGGCAACUAGAAGCAUUCUUGAAAUUUGUGCUUGUUGCAGAUUUCAUAUCCUCUUCCCCCAACUUUGAAAUUGUUACAUAAAUUCAAAGAUUAAACCCAUUAUUUUUAGUAUCAAUAUCUGGGCAAGGUGGAAGAUGAUUCUUUAUUUCUAGCUUUUUUAUUCAAGAAACACUUAUAUAAAAAUAAUAAAAUUUUAAGGAGAAGGUAAGCUAAUUUAGAAAGAUUAAUAAUAUGAAUUUUAAUUAAUUUUGUAACUGUUAAAUAUUUAGAAGUUUUGAAGUAUCCUUUUCACUGCUCCCAGGUGUAAAAUCUAAGCAAAUAGUUGAAGUUAGACUGGUCUUGAACUGGCAUCUUCCAGUCUCUGAGUGGAAGUAUGGUUUCUGUACAGUCUGCUAUUGCCUAUCAUACCCUCAGCUGAUCUUCAUAAAAAGGCCAGCUGAAGUAUUGCUGAGCCUGUGGAAACAGGAGCAAGUGCUUCCAGUGUCAAUCCCAGCAAUGUUUUAGUUGUUAGGACAAGGCUUUUGCUCCUAUGAAUUCCAGUCUUGAUGGAAGUGCCUGAUGUUCUCUGUCAUACUCUAAUGAGCAUUUGAAAUGUUAAGCAUUAACGAUGCAUUCAAGUGAUGGAAAAAAUUCCUCCCAACUGAUCUGGCCACACCUUUACUCAAAGGACCAUUCCCCAUGCGACUGCUGCCGUAUUAGUCGGACAUAGCGAGACUACAAGCGAUCGACGAGCUUUUGCAUAUGGGGCCAGACAGAAACUUCCAUUCUCUGGGAAAAGAACCAGAGGGAGAUGCAGUUAAUGGAGUGAAAUCUGCUCACCCCUGUCAGGAAAGGAGGAGUGACUAUAAACCGUGCUGUAACUGCAGUGAAUGAGAUGGGUGGCAUCAGGAAUACCCCAACUCACCAGACUCUGGCAGGAGAAGGCCUCCUCCAUAUCCCACAGGCUAAAAAAGAUCCAGAUUGACAGUUUUGCUGUAUGAGAGAAGAGUUUCAAGGGCUGUUCCUCAGCUUCAGGCCCCUUUCUAACCAAAGGCUGCUGUUCGAUGGGCAUUUGCAGAAGCUGUCUUUGCCAGUCCAAUAUAUCUAAAUGCAAAGAUACAGAAAGAUAAAUCUAGACCAUACGAUUGCUGGCUGUAUGGCGUUUACCCGUUGGCAACCAUCUCCCUGUGGUGACAUCAGCUGAGGUGGGAAGACUAUAAUUUUACAUUGCAGUAAUCAUUUAAAGUGAAAAUGAAUGUUAACAUUUCUCUGGUAUGCAUAUACCCUAGUCUACAUGUUUGUUCAAUAUCCUGGAUUCCUACUGAGUGACGACCUACUGGGGUCAUUACCAUACAGAUUUAGGGUUAAAAUGAAUGUUUCUAUUAAAAAGAAAAUCUUGCAAAUUCUGCUUUGAGAAGAGCUACUUUCUUGAACAUGAAAAAAGUUUUCUCAGGCACCCACCUCCCAUUUUCAAAAUACUCUUUACAAUGACCCUCACACUACAGUCCUGAAUAAGGAGCAACAGGACAAAAACCUGAAUCUGUUCAGCUUCAUUUUAUUGUUGGCAAUAAGAGACACACCAUAACUGAGCAGCAUCUGGGGAAAGGGGCAGUUAAGUAAUAUGGAAGCUUUCCAUGUAGAUAACUAGGUGUUAAAAGGUGUCUGAAUGAGGGCAUUUUUCUUCUUCAAACCUGCCUUUGCUCUUGUGUGUGUAACUUUCAGGCUCAGCAUGACCCCGCAAACAUUUAGGUAUGUGCCUAACUCGAGGCACAAGUGUUGCGUGUCUUUCAAAUAUGAAUCCCAUUGAAAAUUAUUCCAACACAUCCAAUGGCAGCAGCAUCUUGUUCUUACUGCAGUCCCCUGCUAUAAGUAAGUUUAUUCGGAGACUGACAGACAUUCCAUCCCAGCAAGCACUGGAUCUCAGGUAAAAGCUGUACACAUACAGCAAGACGGCUAUGAUGGAGCCAGACCAGAAAAGUGCUGUUUGGCCCAAAUGGUUAUAAUGGGUACAGUACAGAUAUUGCUUGCCUGUAUAUACGCAAGAGAAUGCCCUUUCUAUGCCUCUACUGCCUCCUCCUUUCCACAUCUGUGCAGCAAACAUAGUGUGCAAACCAAUUUUAAAGGGUUGACUGUGCAGAGUCAGCAUGUCUACAAGGACCUGCAAACCCGGGUGCCAUUUCAAGACCUGCUGGGGAGUAUCUUCCCUUCAGUUUCCGUUAUCUUGGGGAACACAACUACUGACCUCAGGAAAGUACUUUGAGCUUUACUGACAGAGAGGAAGUUCUGAGUACGAGGUUCCAUGCCUGCUCUCUUCACCUGUGCAACAGAACAGGCAGGGCUUGGGCAGCUCUAGCAGCACAAAUAAAUCCUAUGUUAAUUGUAACUAUUGUUAGCCUAAUUUGUGUGCUAAAAGAGUAGUCUGGACAACGCAAAUUCUGUCUCUAGCAAUUCGAUGUUCCGUUUAAAAACAAAACAAAUCUGGGCUGUUAGUGAACGUAAGGCUACGAUAGUAACAGCGAACAGGCCUAUGUCAUCUGCACUGGCUGGAGACCAAUUACGGUGGACGAAAAGAAGCUAAAAGUUUAUUAAGGGCUGCAGCCCUUCGUAUGGGAACAGAAACAGAUCUCAAGCGGUUUCAGCUGAGCGUUACAGGAGAAUCGGCGAAGCAGCUGGCCCGGUCGAGCUGCACCGCACAGCGCUCCCCGCCCGGCCGCCGCCCCAGCCCGCCGGAGGCAGCCGCGCCCGCCCUGCGGCGGAGCCCCACGGGGAGCCCAAGGCCGCCGCCACCGCCGGGCGGAGCCGCAGCCCACACCCGCGCCUGUCACCGCCCCGCGCCCCCUCCUCCCCGCCCGCCCGCGCCGCGCCCCGCUCCGCGGCGACCGGGCACCGCUCGCCUCGCAGCGGCCUCACGCCUCACCCGGCCCUGACGGAGGCGGGGGGCGGCGCCGGUGCUGCCUGAGGCGAGGCCGGGCGGCGGCGGCCCCGCGAGCCCUCGCAGGGGGCACAGCUAGGCCCGGCCCGCGGCACCUGCCCCGCGGCGAGGCGGUGGCGGAGGCGCGGGGCCGGCGCCCAUCUCGGUGCCCCCCCCGCUUCGCCCCACGGGCGGCGCAACCCCCCCGGCGCGUCCCCUCUCUCGGGCUGCGCGGGCCCGCGGCCGGGAUGAGGU